UGUGUGUCAAGAAGCACAUAUACCUCUUGC
rnacentral:piRNA from 1 species